rnacentral:rRNA from 1 species
UAACGCGUGAGCAACCUGCCUUUCAGAGGGGGAUAACGAUUGGAAACGAUCGCUAAUACCGCAUAACGUCCGGAUGGGACAUCCUGUCUGGACCAAAGGAGAAAUCCGCUGAGAGAUGGGCUCGCGUCCAAUUAGCUAGUUGGCGGGGUAAAGGCCCACCAAGGCGACGAUUGGUAGCCGGACUGAGAGGUUGAACGGCCACAUUGGGACUGAGACACGGCCCAGACUCCUACGGGAGGCAGCAGUGGGGAAUAUUGCACAAUGGGGGGAACCCUGAUGCAGCGACGCCGCGUGAGGGAAGAAGGUUUUCGGAUUGUAAACCUCUGUCCUCUGUGACGAUAAUGACGGUAGCAGAGGAGGAAGCCACGGCUAACUACGUGCCAGCAGCCGCGGUAAUACGUAGGUGGCGAGCGUUAUCCGGAAUUACUGGGUGUAAAGGGAGCGUAGGCGGGGGAACAAGUUGAAUGUUUAAGAUAUGGGCUCAACUCAUAUAAGCGUUCAAAACUGUUUUUCUUGAGUGAAGUAGAGGUAAGCGGAAUUCCUAGUGUAGCGGUGGAAUGCGUAAAUAUUAGGAGGAACACCAGUGGCGAAGGCGGCUUACUGGGCUUUAACUGACGCUGAGGCUCGAAAGCGUGGUAGCAAACAGGAUUAGAUACCCUGGUAGU